GUGCUCACUUUGGCAGCACAUAUACUAAAACUGGAACAAUACAUAGACAAUUAACAUGGCACAGCUCCUGUACAAAGAUGAUACGCAAAUUUGUGAAGCAUUCCACAUAUUU